GGUGGCAGAAGCAUGUGCUCCAUGCUCUAAUUUCCAGGCAAACCACGACCCCCGCCCCGAGUGUGGUUCCACAGGGUAUGUGGAGAAAAUUACAUGCAGCUCAUCAAAGAGGAAUGAAUUGAAAAGCUGCCGCUCUGCUCUGUUAUACACAUCUGACUCU